rnacentral:rRNA from 1 species
AAUAUUGCACAAUGGAGGAAACUCUGAUGCAGCGACGCCGCGUGAACGAUGAAGGCCUUCGGGUUGUAAAGUACUUUUGGCAGAGAAGAAAAGGUAUCUCCUAAUACGAGAUACUGCUGACGGUAUCUGCAGAAUAAGCACCGGCUAACUACGUGCCAGCAGCCGCGGUAAUACGUAGGGGGCGAGCGUUGUCCGGAAUUAUGGGGCGUAAAGGGUUCGUAGGCGGUUUUUUAAGUCAGAUGUGAAAGGUCACGGCUCAACCGUGGUAAGCAUUUGAAACUGAAAGACUUGAGUUAAGGAGAGGAAAGUGGAAUUCCUAGGGUAGCGGUGAAAUGCUUAGAUAUUACAUGGAAUACCAAUUGCGAAGGCAGGUUACUAACAAACGAUUGACGCUGAUGGACGAAAGCGUGGGUAGCGAACA